UGCCCUAGUAACGGCGAGUGAAGCGGCAACAGCUCAAAUUUGAAAUCUGGCUCUCGGGCCCGAGUUGUAAUUUGUAGAGGAUGCUUUUGAUGCGGUGCCUUCCGAGUUCCCUGGAACGGGACGCCAUAGAGGGUGAGAGCCCCGUCUGGUUGGAUGCCAAAUCUCUGUAAAGCUCCUUCGACGAGUCGAGUAGUUUGGGAAUGCUGCUCUAAAUGGGAGGUAUAUGUCUUCUAAAGCUAAAUACCGGCCAGAGACCGAUAGCGCACAAGUAGAGUGAUCGAAAGAUGAAAAGCACUUUGAAAAGAGAGUUAAAAAGUACGUGAAAUUGUUGAAAGGGAAGCGUUUAUGACCAGACUUGGGCUUGGUUAAUCAUCUGGGGUUCUCCCCAGUGCACUUUUCCAGUCCAGGCCAGCAUCAGUUUUCGCCGGGGGAUAAAGGCUUCGGGAAUGUGGCUCUCUCCGGGGAGUGUUAUAGCCCGUUGCGUAAUACCCUGGCGGGGACUGAGGUUCGCGCAUCUGCAAGGAUGCUGGCGUAAUGGUCAUCAACGACCCGUCUUGAAACACGGACCAAGGAGUCGUCUUCGUAUGCGAGUGUUCGGGUGUCAAACCCCUACGCGUAAUGAAAAGUGAACGCAGGUGAGAGCUUCGGCGCAUCAUCGACCGAUCCUGAUGUUCUCGGAUGGAUUUGAGUAAGAGCAUACGGGGCCGGACCCGAAAGAAGGUGAACUAUGCCUGUGUAGGGUGAAGCCAGAGGAAACUCUGGUGGAGGCUCGCAGCGGUUCUGACGUGCAAAUCGAUCGUCAAACAUGGGCAUGGGGGCGAAAGACUAAUCGAACCUUCUAGUAGCUGGUUUCCGCCGAAGUUUCCCUCAGGAUAGCAGUGUUGAACUCAGUUUUAUGAGGUAAAGCGAAUGAUUAGGGACUCGGGGGCGCUAUUUAGCCUUCAUCCAUUCUCAAACUUUAAAUAUGUAAGAAGCUCUUGUUGCUUAAUUGAACGUGAGCAUUCGAAUGUAUCAACACUAGUGGGCCAUUUUUGGUAAGCAGAACUGGCGAUGCGGGAUGAACCGAACGCGAGGUUAAGGUGCCAGAGUAGACGCUCAUCAGACACCACAAAAGGUGUUAGUACAUCUUGACAGCAGGACGGUGGCCAUGGAAGUCGGAAUCCGCUAAGGACUGUGUAACAACUCACCUGCCGAAUGUACUAGCCCUGAAAAUGGAUGGCGCUCAAGCGUCUCACCCAUACCUCGCCCUCAGGGUAGAAACGAAGCCCUGAGGAGUAGGCGGACGUGGAGGUCAGUGACGAAGCCUAGGGC
rnacentral:rRNA from 1 species